UGGGGAAUAUUGCACAAUGGGCGCAAGCCUGAUGCAGCCAUGCCGCGUGAAGGAAGAAGGCUUUCGGGUUGUAAACUUCUUUUGUCAGGGACGAGUAGAAGACGGUACCUGACGAAUAAGCCACGGCUAACUACGUGCCAGCAGCCGCGGUAAUACGUAUGGUGCAAGCGUUAUCCGGAUUUACUGGGUGUAAAGGGAGCGUAGACGGCUGUGUAAGUCUGAAGUGAAAGCCCGGGGCUCAACCCCGGGACUGCUUUGGAAACUAUGCAGCUAGAGUGUCGGAGAGGUAAGUGGAAUUCCCAGUGUAGCGGUGAAAUGCGUAGAUAUUGGGAGGAACACCAGUGGCGAAGGCGGCUUACUGGACGAUGACUGACGUUGAGGCUCGAAAGCGUGGGGAGCAAACAGGAUUAGAUACCCUAGUAGUCCACGCCGUAAACGAUGAGAACUAGGUGUUGGGGAAAUAACUCAGUGCCGCAGUUAACGCAGUAAGUUCUCCGCCUGGGGAGUAUGCACGCAAGUGUGAAACUCAAAGGAAUUGACGGGGGCCCGCACAAGCGGUGGAGUAUGUGGUUUAAUUCGAAGCAACGCGAAGAACCUUACCAGGCCUUGACAUCCCUUGCAGAGGUAUAGAGAUAUAUCCGAGGUUAUCAAGGAGACAGGUGGUGCAUGGUUGUCGUCAGCUCGUGUCGUGAGAUGUUGGGUUAAGUCCCGCAACGAGCGCAACCCCUGUUUUCAGUUACCAGCACGUAAAGGUGGGGACUCUGGAAAGACUGCCGGUGAUAAAUCGGAGGAAGGUGGGGACGACGUCAAAUCAUCAUGCCCUUUAUGUCCUGGGCUACACACGUACUACAAUGGCUAUAACAAAGAGAAGCGAAGCAGUGAUGUGGAGCAAAACUCAAAAAAGUAGUCUCAGUUCGGAUUGUAGGCUGAAAUUCGCCUACAUGAAGCCGGAAUUGCUAGUAAUGGCAGGUCAGCAUACUGCCGUGAAUACGUUCCC
rnacentral:rRNA from 1 species